rnacentral:tRNA from 1 species
GGACCCGUAGCUCAGCUUGGAUAGAGCACCUGCCUUCUAAGCAGGGGGUCGGGGGUUCAAAUCCCCCCGGGCCCG